UUCCGGUAUUGAUGGUGAGCUUAUUGAUGCUUUUGUUAUCUUUGCAGGACCCAACCAAGCAAACUGGCAUUGAUAAGUUCAUGAUACAAUAACUUGAUGGAACAGUUAAUGAGUGGGGCUGGUGCAAGCAGAAGCUUGGUGCUAAUGCUAUAUUGGCAGUAUCACUUGCUGUCUGUAAAGCAGGUGCUAGCGUGAAAUGGAUCCCUCUUUACCAGAUAGAUGUGGAGAGUACAGUGGGGGGAGAAGCUUUUUCUCAGAUAGCGCCAACAAUUCCUACUGUCGCUGAUGUAUUUACCAGUACUCAUCUAUUUGAUGUACUUACAGAUUCAACUAGAGGUCGGCUUUCUUUCUCUGUAUAUGAGAAGUACCUUGUUGGAUUAGAAAGGGGUUGAUAAGGAGGUUUCUGUCUAUAUUUCUCACCUUCAUAGGUAUUCUAAAUGGCUCAAUUGUCCCCUGAUUUAAAUGGGUUGUUGCAUGGCCUAUGCAUCUUAAUGUAUCUGUCUUGUAUAUGUUUAGUAAGCACCCUGUAGUGGGCUAUUCUACAAACUACC